rnacentral:lncRNA from 1 species
CUCACAGGGCGUCCUGUGGGAAUUGCUGGUCUAAAAGAAGCCAGUGGAGAAACGCCUGGCUUCGUCCCGACCUCUGCGCUAAACAAGAGGAAGUGGUCGCCCUCGCGCAAGUUUUCCAGAAUUUCAGCGGAAGUUGGGCAACAGACUCCAGAGAACAAAGUAAUUUAGAAAAAUACAGAAUGUGAAGUGAUCCAGGGCAGGUCGCCUGGCUACAAGAAGAGAUGACAGACAGAACAAGCUCACGAUCAAAUGCUAGUCAAGGGAUGUGCUGGGAAAGGAGCGG